AUGGGACGGCCCGCUGGGCUGUUCCCGCCCCUAUGCCCUUUUUUGGGUUUCCGGCCAGAGGCAUGCUGGGAGCGUCACAUGCAAAUUGAGCGUGCACCCAGCGUUCCGCCCUUUCUACGCUGGGCCGGUUAUCGACCCGGCCCAGUGCGCAGGCGCGGGAAAGUUGAACUAAUAAAGUUUGUACGAGUUCAGUGGAGGAGACCGCAAGUUGAGUGGAGGAGGCGGCGGUGGGGCCCCGGACCAGGUCAGCGGGGUGUUGACGAGGGGUGGGGUGAGGAGGGAAGAGGAGGGGGCCGGGAUCCAGUGGUGGGCACCCCAGUCCCGCUUCUCUGAUAUCCAAGGGUCCAGGGUCCUCUAGAUUCCAGCAGGGGUCGGAGAUUUGGAACUACACCUCACAGCAGGCUGCGCGGCGAAGAAGCGCGGACCUAGGGGAAGAUUUGCCCUGAAACCUCUUGGGAUUGGUAGUUCCCGAUGCUUUAAGGGUUUCAGGAGUUUGGCAUAUGCCUCUUAUAGAAUCCAGGAGUUGGGGCGCUAAGCCUCUUCUUCCUGGGAGACCUAAGGGUCUGGGGCUCCAGUUCCUUUUUCUCUAAGACUCAGAAGUCCAGGACCCCAGCUCCCUCCUCCUUUAGACCCACGAAUCUGGGCACCCAGCCCCACCACCUUUCCUUGGAUCGAAGAGUCUUUUUCCUGAUCGCUUUUUCGUCUGAGGACUCAAGAGUCUAGGCCCCCAGACCCACACUCUCCAAAGGACCCAGGAGUCCAGGCCCUCAGCACCUUCCUUGGGACUCACAAGUCCUGGUCCCCAAGCCUCCACUUCUUGCUAAACCCUUGGAGUCCAGUCCCUAACCCUCUCUCUCACAGGUGCCUCCAUGGCAGGCUCUGAAGAGCUGGGGCUCCGGGAAGACACGCUGAGGGUCCUAGCUGCCUUCCUUAGGCGUGGUGAGGCUGCCGGGUCUCCUGUUCCAACUCCACCUAGAAGCCCUGCCCAAGAAGAGCCAACAGACUUCCUGAGCCGCCUUCGAAGAUGUCUUCCCUGCUCCCUGGGGCGAGGAGCAGCCCCCUCUGAGUCCCCUCGGCCUUGCUCUCUGCCCAUCCGCCCCUGCUAUGGUUUAGAGCCUGGUAAGAGAUUUCCAUGAUCAUCUAUGAAGCCGGCAGAACACGGGAUAAGGCCCAGCUACUCCAGACUUCUAUGCUUUGGUGGCCCAGCGGCUGGAACAGCUGGUCCAAGAGCAGCUGAAAUCUCCGCCCAGCCCAGAAUUACAGGGUCCCCCAUCGACAGAGAAGGAAGCCAUACUGCGGAGGCUGGUGGCCCUGCUGGAGGAGGAGGCAGAAGUCAUUAACCAGAAGGUGAUGGGCAUCUGUCCCACUCCUUGGCAAGGACAGGAGUUGCGGAAUGGAGGGCAUCCUGGCUGUUUCACCCGUGGACUUGAACUUGCCAUUGGACUGAGCUCUUUCUCAGAAGCUGCUACAAGAUGACACCUCAUGUCCCUGCCCUCUUCGUGUGCUUUUCCAAGUCUUCCUAUUCCACUCAGGGCUGUGGGGUGGUGGUUGCCCUACCUGUUUUUGCCAAAAAUAAAUUGUUUAAAACUUUUCUUAUUAAAAACGUUACAAAGUA
rnacentral:misc_RNA from 1 species